GGGAAGAUGGCUUAGUGGUAGAGUGCUUGCCUUAUAUGCAUGAGGCCUAGGGUCCAAUUCCUCAGCACCCCA
rnacentral:tRNA from 1 species